rnacentral:rRNA from 1 species
UACAUGGGGUGCAAACGUUGCUCGGAAUUAUUGGGCGUAAAGGGCGCGUAGGCGGCCUGACAAGUGGAAGGUGAAAUCCCUCGGCUUAACCGAGGAACUGCCCUCCAAACUGUCUGGCUUGAGACCGGGAGAGGUGAGUGGAAUUCCCAGUGUAGCGGUGAAAUGCGUAGAUAUUGGGAGGAACACCAGUGGCGAAGGCGGCUCACUGGACCGGUACUGACGCUGAGGCGCGAAAGCGUGGGGAGCAAACGGG